CCGUAUUAGGUCAGUAUUAACUCCAUAGUUUCAACGUUAACUUAGAUGAACCCCUGAAGGAUUUUUUCCUCCUCCAUCUGGUGAGGACUUUCAUACUUCACAUCAGGACUAAGAUUCAAUCUUCUUGCAAAAUUUUUCUUGGACAUAAAAUGAUACAGACUGGAGAUGGCAUCAGAAGGCCUGGAGGAAGAAUGCCACUGGUCACCCUGUGGCUCUGAAGAACACCAUCUUUGUGGGCUGGGAAAAAUCCUUUGUCUGCUGAGAAGGGGAGGAAAAGCAGUUCAGAGUGAACAUCCAUGCCUCCAUCCUUAUGCUGCCUCCAACAUGGAUGAUGAAUUGAGAUGCUACAACAAAAACAAGCCUCUUGGCUCAGGCUGCUGUCACCAUUCCUUGCAUAAGAGUGUCCAAGAGCUUUACAAAUAAUUUUGUAAACACAAUGCAGCAGGAGAGAGGAAAUAUGUUUAUGUCUCUAAUGAAACCUGCAACCAUCACUAAGUGCUCUGUGCAACGCAGCUCUUGCAGGCAAGUUCCCUGGUUUCUGUCUGCCCUAUCUCACCAUCCAGCUUUGUUUAUCUUUUCGUGUAAGAGAUAACUCAUCAUCCCUCUUUUCACAUAAAGAAGUCCUGUAAUUCAAGUUUCUCUCUCUUACAGAUAAUGAAAAGAAAAAUAUUUUUUUCCCAAGUACUUAAGUAGAUUCUGAUUCUUACAGCAAUGAAGGUUGAUAGCAUAAAUACUGCUACAGACACAGCCUCAAACCUGGAGUCAUCUCCUUAAUUCUCACUGCUAUCACAAAAAAGAUGUGUGCAGGAAACAAGCUUCCUUAAGUAUGUUUUGUCUCAUUACCUCAUAGUAUUGGAGUCAUGCUAAAUUACCUACAAAAGCCCAUAAUCUUCUGUAGCACUUGGUAUUUGAACCUUCCACUGUACCUCAUGCUGUUCCUGUUUGAGCCUAGUUUGCCAAACUGGGUUUGAUUUCACUUUAACGAAGUUUAUAAUGCCUCCUAGUAAUCUGUGGUCAUAGGUUUCUGCUGUGAUCGUUACUGCUCAGAGAUUUCACUUUUUCUUGUUUCACUGCUUGUUUCCACCAUUCCACACUCCUUGGUUCCUCUUUCCCUAUCUCCUUUCCUAAUGAUGAGACAGACCACUUGUCUCUCCAAUUUUUUGUGCCUUCAGAAAACCUUGUUUUUCAAAUUUAUUGACUUGCUACUUAAAAAGAGAAAUAAGAUUUGCUAUUCAGGCCUAGCCAAAUUCAAAACAUUAGUUAUUCCAUAGAAGUUUGUAAUAUAAAAAAAUGCUUAGAAGAGUAUUGAGAAAAUUGCUAUAAAUACAGAUGCUUGCCAUAUUGCAGUCAAUUUCACAGGUUAAGUAUUCAAUUCUACACCAGAAUAACACUGCUUCAAUCCAUAUUAGUGAAUAUGGUACAGAGCACAGAUUUUAGACUGAAAUUUAGGAUUUCACUAUUGCUAUAAAUACCCCCACCCCCAAGCACUCUCCUGCAGUUAAUUUCAUUUCUGCAAGACCCGAAAGUAGAAUUUUCUAGCUUUCAGAUGAACGGAGUACUAUUAGCCUACAAUAUUUCAGCAUUUGGAUGUUAACAAUGGAGGUAACAUAUUAUUGCUGCUCUUGCAGUGAGCAAAAAUCUCCCCAGUUCUAAGCAAGCAAAACUGAUAAAAAUAUGCUUUAAAAAAUACUAUACAAAGUCAGACUGUACACUUCUGUUACCUUUGAUUUGCUCUUUGAAAUUGUAUUACAAGUACUGGAGAAAUUGGUUUAACCUCUUCAGAAUAACCAGCAAGUUGUGGGUCCUCCAUAGGCCAAAGAAUGAAUUGUUUAUAUUUUCUCUUGGUGUAGGCCUACAGCAUAAAAUGAUCAGAACAGAACUUUUGCAGAUAUUUCUAACAUAAUACUUUUUUGAGAUAUUUUAUUCAAAUGUUAUAUGCUCAGUUUUACCCCCAAAUAUUCACUACAAAAAUAUUAAGAAACUAAUCUUUUCACUAUGUAUGGGAUAUCCAGGUUAAAAAACCCCAAAAGAUACUUCAGUUUUUGCGAAGCUAACAAAGUAAACUAUUCUUGGUGAAAACUAAUGUAAUAGAGUAUGCUUCCAUUGUUCAAGAUAGUACUAAGCAUAUUUUUUUCUCUUAAAAGAAGAUUUAGUUAUAAGUAACCUUCCAAGAGAAACGGAAAAUCAACUUAACUACGAAAAAGCUCAUCCAAUUCAAAAGAUAAUCAAAACACUGGGGGAAACUGCAAUUAGUUCUCAUAGCAUUAGAAUUAGAAAUAUGUAAAACUAUGAUGAGUUAUGAUUUUAAGCAAUAAAUAUUUUUCUAUAAAAAAUUCAGUUAUCCUAUUUUUAUGUUGCAUCUGUUCAGUAACAAUUCAUGUAUAGUAUAUUUACACUAUAUCCUUGUCCCCUUCACAAAAAUGUUAAAUAGUUUGAUGAAA